UGGCGUAAUGGUUAAGUGCUUGGCUGCUAACCAAGAGGUCAGUGGUUUGAACCCACU
rnacentral:tRNA from 1 species